AUUUUGUUUUCUUUUGCCUCUUUCCCUGUCUGAAUGGGAAGCAACGGUCAAUCUUUUGUCCUUCGGCAGGUGGAGAAAUAGAGGGACCAAGGAUGUUCGGAAUUUGGCUACAACAGUCACGGGAAAUUGUUCUAAACCUUCACUCCUCUGCCAGAACUUAUAUAUCUCUUUCUUCAAUCUCUCUCUCUUUCUCUUUCUUAUCCUCCAUGAGUGGCUUCUGUUUUCCUUCAAGAAAAAUUGUACAUGUCUAAGAGCUCCAUGGCUUCUAGUUCUUCCUUUUCUUGCUCCCCUUUAUCUCAUGAUUAUGAGAGACCAGAUCUUGAAUCCAUAAAAGCACUUGUACUUGCAAUAAAUGAAUACUUUCUUGAGUUCUUAGGAAAUGCUGAUUUAUGGAAUUCUUUGAAAUCUCAGUGCAUUUCUAAGCUAAAUAUUAGAAAUCAGGAGUUCUUUGAAUUCUCUGAGCAUUCAGUCCUCUCAAAUCUUUACUGGGGCAUUGAAAACAUUGAAGCUGCAAUACAAGCAAAUUGCACAGGAGAGAAAACUACUCGGUUAAUGAACUCGGAAAGAAUGCUUCAAGCCCCAGCAUUGCUUGAUGAACAUGGAGUCACAGCUGGAAUUCAAAACCAUUAUUUGGUUUGCUGCUCAUAUUUUUACCUCUCAGCAGUUAGGAAGCUCCAAAAUGAUGAGUGGCAGGUUGCCCUGCAUUUUCUCCAAGCAAUUUUGGUCUCUCCAAGACUUGUUCGAACCCAACUUGCACCAGAACUGUGUGAAACUCUCUUUCCAUCAAGCACUGUUUUGGAAAUGGGGAUCAUGGGUCGAAAGAAUGAUAAUGAAUCUGUCACAGAUUUUCUUAAUGAGGCCAAUAUCAAUGAUGCAGUCAGGGAGAUUACAAGAAGAUACAAACACUGGCUAAUGUAUUAUCAGAUCAUGUUAUAUGGAGCAACUCCUCAGUGGAAUUGCAUUAGCAGAAGUACAUCAUCCUAUAAUGGAGAAUCACAGCAUUUUUGGCAAGUGACUAACAGCAGUAACUCUUCAAAUUCAAUUGAGGAAGGACACUUCUUGCAAAAAUACAAGUUAAUGCAGGAUGAGAAAGUGCAUCCACUUGAUCCUCAAGAAUAUACAGCUGAUGAUACUGCAGACAAAACUAAGACAUGCAUGGAAAUUCAAGAACUUAAUGAUAAUAAUAAAUCUUUUAAUCAUUUGGAUCAAGUUCCAAAGUUAAAAAUUCACACUGAAAAGUAUACAAGCAUCAAAUGCCUCCAGGAAGUAUUGUUGGAAUCCCAAUCAGAUACACCAACUUCAGCAAAUUCAAGCUACAGUUAUUAUCUGGAAGAAGAUGAUGUGGAGGUAAACAUCGAUGAAAGUACAAGCUCAAUUAGAACUGCAGGUGAAGAUGAUCUGCAGCCAGCAGUUUGUGAACAGACACCACAGGCUUCUUGCUUGAAAUUAGAUCAAAUAUGCACAAUGAUGGUUUUUCCACAUGCUUCUCAACAAAAAGUGCAGGAAGUUGAUCCAGUAAAUAUUAGUAGAUUAUAUUCUGGUAGAUGCCCAAGUUCUAUCAGCGAUUUUGAUUUAUCCAUCUUGGAGCUUAGAAAUGGAAAGUCAGGCUCCUUCCUAGAUUGCAAUGUUGAAGACAAUUCAGCUCAGAGGCCACAAUGGAGACACAAGGCCCAAGUGACUGAUCAAGAAGCAACCACAGCACUUAAGAAUUGUAGGCUUAUGCAGAGGGAUGACCACAGCCAAAAUAGCUUGAAUGAAUUUUGUCUGCAUUCUGGAAAGGAUUCCAACAUCGAGUUAAUGACGAUAUUUGAGAAAGCUAUUUCAAGGCUAUGCUUCUCAGAAGGAUUAGCAAAAUGUGAAGAAGAAUAUGCUGUAGAAGUUACAUCCGUUUACAAAAUGUUAGACUGCAAAAAAGGAAUAAAAUACACAAUCUUAAAGGAAAUUAUUCUGGAUCAGCUGCUAACUGCUAUAUCAAAUUCUAAAGGGGAAAAUGUCUUAAGAGCAUCGAUAUCUAUUCUUUCAACUAUUGCAUCAAUAAACAAGUCAGCUAUAGAAGAUAUCAAGAAGAAGGGUUUGAGGUUAUGCGAUUUGGCAACUGCUCUAAAGCAAAAUGUGCAUGAGGCAGCUAUUCUUAUCUACCUGAUAGAACCAUCUCCAGUAGAAAUAAAGACAUUAGAAAUUCUUCCAGAAUUGAUGGAGAUAGUGUGCACUUCAAAUAGAUAUAAAGGAAAACCAGCUUCAGAACUGCUGACACCUCCUGCAGCAUCAUUGAUGAUUAUUGAAAUACUAGUAACUGCAUUCGACUGUGCUACUAAUAACAUGCACUUGGCUGCUAUCAAUUCUCCUCGAAUUCUUAGUAGGAUCUUAGAUGUUGCUAGAGAAAAUAAUUUGGAAGAGUGCAUCUCUAUGGCCAACAUUUUGAUAAAAUGCAUGCAGUUUGAUGGACAAUGCAGAAAACAAAUAUCACAAAUUACUCCUGUGGCUCCAUUUAAACAUCUCCUAAAAAGUAAUGUGAAGCGUGCCAAGUUCACAGCUCUUCAGUUUUUCCAUGAAAUCCUUUGCAUGCCAAGGUCAUCAGCCAUUAGCCUUUUGCUACGGAUACGUAAAGAAGGAAUUGAUGAGAUUAUGCACUUGCUGUUGCAGUGUGUCCAACAACUUCAACCUGAUUACCAACUUCUGGCAGCAAAUUUAUUUCUGCAAUUAGAUGCUUUGGAACAUUCAUCUGGCAAAAGUAUGUUCAUGGAAGAGGCCAUGCAAAUCAUCCUCAAGUCAGUGGGGUCUGAAGAAAACUCUACUUUGCAGCAACUAUCUACUUUCAUUCUGGCAAACAUUGGAGGAACUUAUAGUUGGACAGGGGAACCAUACACAGUUGCAUUGCUGGUGAAAAAGGCCGGUGUGACCUCUGUGUAUCAUCGGAAUAUGAUCAGAAAUUUUGACUGGUCAGAUGAAAGCCUGCAGGAUGCAGGAAUUGACUCAUGGUGUAGCAAGAUUGCAAAAGGCAUCAUUAGUACAGGAAGACCUGUCUUCCAAGCUUUAGAUACAGGUAUAAGAAGUAAGAUCAGGAAGGUCUCUCGGAACUCUCUCACAGCAAUUGCAUGGAUUGGAUGUGAAAUUUCCAAGUAUCCAAACAGCCUAAGAAAUUCUGCAUGUGAAAUACUGCUUAAUGGGAUUGAGCAAUUUCUGCAUCCAGGAGCAGCAUUUGAAGAAAGACUUCUUGCCUGUCUGUGCAUUUAUAACUACACUUCAGGCAAAGGGAUGCAGAAACUAAUCCAUUUCUCAGAAGGGGUAAGGGAGUCCCUAAGACGUUUUUCAAGUGUAACCUGGGUGGCUGAGGAACUACAUAGAGUAGCAGACUUUUACUUGCCCAACAAAUCUGUUAGUAUUCUAUUGCACUUAAAGCUGCACUAUUCAUGUGAGAGCAUAAGCUCUACAUUCUAUUUGCUUUCUGGGAAAAUGUUUUUCACAGAACCCAAUAGUUCCAUUGAACUCAUAAAUUAUAAUCCAAGUUAUAGAUUUAUGUCAGAUGUUUUUUUUAUUGUCUAACCAAACUUCUUUUAAUGGCAAGACCAGCGUAUAUCCUGUGUACAUACACAAAUUUUAGAGGCAAAACAGAGCAAAAGUGGAGCUGUAACUGCCCUUAUCUACUACAGGGGACUGCUUUACAGUGGCUAUUCUGAUGGUUCAAUUAAGGUAUGUAAUACUAUCAUAGAUUUUAGAGUUGGAUUCAAAAAGUAAGCUUGCAAAGGUCCAACUUGUGCGCUCAUGAAACAGGUGUGGUACAUCAAACAGCAGUCAGCCACUCUUGUAUGGGACCUGAAAGAGCACAAAAAGGCAGUCACAUGUUUUUCACUCUUUGAACCUGGGGAAAGCCUUCUAAGCGGAUCUGCUGAUAAGACCAUCAGGGUAUUUACAUAACAUGUCUUAUUGCAAAGAUUGCAUUCAUUGAUUGUUCUACUUAGUGCAGUUAAUUAAACCAAGCCUUAAUCCUGCAGGUUUGGCAAAUGGUCCAUAGGAAAUUGGAGUGCAUUGAAGUUAUAGCAAUGAAGGAACCAAUUCAAAAGAUAGAAACAUAUGGCCAAAUGAUUUUUAUGAUCACCCAAAGCCAUAGGAUGAAGGUACUAAUGAACGAGAGAAUAUAGAUGAUCAAAGUGAUUGUUGUGUGUGUGCACAUGUAUGCAUAAGUUCAUUCACCAAUGGAGAAAAUACAAAUCGUAAUGCCCUCGAAAAAUUGCUUGUGAAAAACUGUUUAACUACAGGACUUAUUAUUUAACAGGUGUUUGAUUCAUCCAGAAUAGUCAGAGAGAUAAGCAAGACUAAGAAGGUGAAGUGUAUGACUGCAAUCCAGGGAACGCUUUACAUAGGCUGCAUGGAUUCAAGCAUACAGGAAUUAGCCAUUGCAAACAAUAGGGAGAGAGAGAUCAAGCAGCCAAUAAAGAGUUGGAGGAUGCAAAAAAAGCCCAUCAAUUCUAUUGCUGUGCACAAAGAUUGGCUUUACAGUGCAAGUUCAAUCGUUGAGGGUUCAAAAGUUAAGGAAUGGAGAACACAUUACAAGCCCCAAAUGUCAAUAGUAAUAGGGAAAGGCAGAAACAUAGUAGCAAUGGAAGCAGUAGAAGACUUUAUAUACUUGAAUUGCAGCUCAUCAACUAGUACCCUUCAGAUAUGGCUGAGAGGCACACAACAGAAUGUGGGAAGGAUAUCAGCAGGCAGCAGAAUAACAAGCCUCAUCACUGCCAAUGACAUUGUUCUAUGUGGUACAGAGAAAGGAUUAAUCAAGGGCUGGAUACCACUCUAAAGGCAAAAGUAUUAUGUGAAGUGGCUAGAAAAUUCCACUACUGGUGUUUGGAGUCAGAUUUAAAUUUCAUGUAAAUAUAUAGCCAAGAAAGAAUAGAACUAUCAUUAUCAAAAUCAUAUGUUGAAAAAUAUAGUUUUGUUAUUUGUAUUACAGUUGAACAACAAACCUGGAGAUCAUGAAAAAUUAAUUUAUAGCACUCCCAGGCCGCUUUUUUGGUUUUAAUUGAUCAUUGUAUACUAUUGGAUCUAAAUCUAAUGGGUAAUUUUUAUAAUCCGUCCCAAAACUUUGUUUCAUGUUCACUACCACCUAGGCCUGUGCAGUUUUUGGUGUGAACCGAAAAACUGAACCGAGCCAUUUCGGUUCAAUCGGUUCGGUUUUUAAAUUUAAUCGGUUCGGUUCGGUU
rnacentral:misc_RNA from 1 species